UGCCCAGCAACUCCUAUCCCUACCUCCUCGUGGUACUGGUCGGGUUACGAGCAACCUUAGGGAAGAUGGUCGUAUGCUGACAGGGAAGG
rnacentral:ribozyme from 1 species